rnacentral:piRNA from 1 species
GUGGUCACUUGGUCAGACUUGGGGAAA